rnacentral:rRNA from 1 species
GAUGAACGCUAGCUACAGGCUUAACACAUGCAAGUCGAGGGACCGGCGCACGGGUGAGUAACACGUAUCUAACUUGCCCUUUACUCGGGGAUAGCCUUUCGAAAGAAAGAUUAAUACCCGAUAUAAAGGAUGGGGAUGCGUUCCAUUAGGUUGUUGGUGGGGUAACGGCCCACCAAGCCUUCGAUGGAUAGGGGUUCUGAGAGGAAGGUCCCCCACAUUUGUACUUAGACUCGAUCCAAACUCCUACGGGAGGCAGCAGUGAGGAAUAUUGGUCAAUGUGCGCUAGCCUGAACCAGCCAAGUAGCGAGAAGGAUGAGGGCUGAUAGGUCGUAAACUUCUUUUAUAUAAGAAUAUGUAUUAUAUGAAUAAGGAUCGGCUAACUCCGUGCCAGCAGCCGCGGUAAUAC